AUGAUUAAUAACAUGGGGAAUGGAUUUGGAUCUGGCAAUGGAUUGAUCCCAGAGCAGGAGGCCAGAUGCCCUAGAGAGGAAGUUACUACUGGAAGCUCUUCACCCAGAUCUAGCUCAGCUCUGGAAGCUCUCCAUGAGCAAGGCCUGAAAGCGAGCGUGGAGGGAGGCGACCGUGGGGCUGAUGGUGGUGUUGGAUGUGACUCACCACCUCGCUGCCCUCCCAGGCGCCCCCCGUGCUACUGCAAGUUCCACGGAUGGCCAGAAGGCAGCCUCCCAGCUCCCUUGGAAGGAAGGCAGAGAGAAAGCGUCAUCGGCUUCUCGGAGUUUGGCUUCGCGGGACUUCAACCCAACUCUGCUUGUCCAAGGAAGCAAAGAGCAGACAAGGCUCAUCUAGACCCCUCAAGAGAGAGCUAA
rnacentral:lncRNA from 1 species